rnacentral:rRNA from 1 species
GACGAACGCUGGCGGCGUGCUUAACACAUGCAAGUCGAACGGAAAGGCCCUGCUUGCAGGGUACUCGAGUGGCGAACGGGUGAGUAACACGUGGGUGAUCUGCCCUGCACUUCGGGAUAAGCCUGGGAAACUGGGUCUAAUACCGGAUAGGAGCCAUUUUUAGUGUGAUGGUUGGAAAGUUUUUUCGGUGUAGGAUGAGCUCGCGGCCUAUCAGCUUGUUGGUGGGGUAAUGGCCUACCAAGGCGGCGACGGGUAGCCGGCCUGAGAGGGUGGACGGCCACAUUGGGACUGAGAUACGGCCCAGACUCCUACGGGAGGCAGCAGUGGGGAAUAUUGCACAAUGGGCGCAAGCCUGAUGCAGCGACGCCGCGUGGGGGAUGACGGCCUUCGGGUUGUAAACUCCUUUCGCUAGGGACGAAGCUUUUGUGACGUUACCUAGAUAAGAAGCACCGGCUAACUACGUG